GAUGUUGAUCCUGGCUCAGGAUGAACGCUAGCGGCAGGCUUAACACAUGCAAGUCGAGGGGCAGCAGGUCUUCGGACGCUGGCGACCGGCAAACGGGUGCGGAACACGUACGCAACAUACCCUUUACAGGGGGAUAGCCCGAAGAAAUUCGGAUUAACACCCCAUAGUAUAGUGGAGAGGCAUCUUUCUGUUAUUAAAAAUUUAUUGGUAAAGGAUUGGCGUGCGUCCCAUUAGAUAGUUGGCGGGGUAACGGCCCACCAAGUCAGCGAUGGGUAGCUGGUGUGAGAGCACGACCAGCCACACGGGCACUGAGACACGGGCCCGACUCCUACGGGAGGCAGCAGUGAGGAAUAUUGGUCAAUGGACGCAAGUCUGAACCAGCCAUGCCGCGUGGAGGAUGACAGCCUUCUGGGUUGUAAACUUCUUUUAUAUGGGAAGAAAAGUACGGUUUCUACUGUAUCCGACGGUACCAUAUGAAUAAGCACCGGCUAACUCCGUGCCAGCAGCCGCGGUAAUACGGAGGGUGCAAGCGUUAUCCGGAUUUACUGGGUUUAAAGGGUGUGUAGGCGGAUAUUUAAGUCAGAGGUGAAAUCUCCGAGCUCAACUCGGAAACUGCCUUUGAUACUAUUUAUCUUGAAUUUCGUUGAGGUUGGCGGAAUAUAUCAUGUAGCGGUGAAAUGCAUAGAUAUGAUAUAGAACACCGAUUGCGUAGGCAGCUGGCUGAACGAACAUUGACGCUGAGGCACGAAAGCGUGGGUAGCGAACAGGAUUAGAUACCCUGGUAGUCCACGCCCUAAACGAGGAUUACUCGACAUACGCGAUACACAGUGUGUGUCUGAGCGAAAGCAUUAAGUAUCCACCUG
rnacentral:rRNA from 1 species